rnacentral:lncRNA from 1 species
GGGGGGGGGCACAUAAGGGGCGGUUUGGGGGGAUUCACCCCCAAAAAAAACGGUUUUGAGGGACCCCAAAAAGGGCGGUUUUGGGGUUUCUCCCGAAAAAGUGGUUUCAAGGGGCCCCCAAAACGAAAGCUUUUAGGAUUCCCCAAAAAAAGUGGUUUCAAGGCACCCCAAAAAGGGCGGUUUUUAGGAUUCUACCCCAAAAAGUGGUUUCAAGGGACCCCAAAAAGGGCGGUUUUUAGGAUUCUACCCCAAAAAGUGGUUUCAAGGGACCCCAAAAAGGGCAGUUUUUAGGAUUGUACCCCAAAAAUUGGUUUCAAGGGACCCCAAAAAGGGCAGUUUUUAGGAUUGUACCCCAAAAAUUGGUUUCAAGGGACCCCAAAAAGGGCAGUUUUAGGAUUCUACCCCAAAAAAGUGGUUUUGAGGGCCCCCAAAAGGGCGUUUUUAGGGGAUUCCCAAUAAAGUGGUUUCAAGGAACCCCAAAAAGGGCGGGUUUGGGGGAUUCCUCCCAAAAAUUGGUUUCAAGGGACCCCAAAAAGGGCUUUUUGGGGGGAUUCCCAAUAAAGUGGUUUCAAGGCACCCCAAAAAGGGCAGUUUUUAGGAUUGUACCCCAAAAAUGUGGUUUUGAGGGCCCCCAAAAGGGCAGUUUUUAGGAUUGUACCCCCCAAAAAUUGGUUUCAAGGGCCCCCCAAAAGGGCACUUUUGGGGUUUCCCAUUGUUUUGGGGUUUCCCAUUCUCUUGGGGUUUCCCCCCCGUUCGGGGCUCCCGACCCCCCCCUGAGCCCCCCCC